rnacentral:rRNA from 1 species
UACGUAGGAGGCGAGCGUUGUCCGGAUUUACUGGGCGUAAAGAGCGCGCAGGCGGCAUGUCAAGUAAGGUGUGAAAUCUCCCAGCUUAACUGGGAUAGGUUAUGCCAGACUGCUUUUCUAGAGGACGAGAGAGGGGCGUGGAAUUCCGGGUGUAGUGGUGAAAUGCGUAGAGAUCCGGAGGAACCCCAGAGGCGAAGGCGACGCCCUGGCUAGUACCUGACGCUCAGCCACGAAAGCAUGGGGAGCGAACGGG